rnacentral:lncRNA from 1 species
GCAGGUAGAGAUGUAGUGGAAACACAGCUUGUAAAGUUAAAGCCUUUUGAUUAACAGGUGUACUCCCAUAAUCUCCCACCCUCCUCAAGUACCCUCAUGUUCUCUGAGUUUAGCUGCCAUCCCCACAAUAGCGAUUCUGAAUAGACAUGAGUUAGAAGGAAUUGCAAAGACGGUACAAGAAUCCCAGGGAUAGGAGAGGUUUCAAGAGGGGUCCUCUCCCACCUACGUGGGCCUUCUGUGCUUCCAAGGCCGGCCGGCCCAUCUUUUGGUUGACAACAGGCAAAUACCUUUUCAUUCUUGUGGAAUCCUGGCCACAGAUUGGCUGCUCAAAAAAGGGCUUUUCCAGGGCAGUUAUUGUGCUCAGUUUAUUGAUAUGCUUUUAAGUUGUUUUUAAUGCAGCCAAUUUUUUAAUAAUGUAACAUAUUUGACAGUGUGAUUUUUUAAAAGUUUUUUUUUAAGUUUUUUUUUAAAAAAAACCUCAUCCUCUUUUUCAAUUAAUCUUGACAUGAGCCACCUUCUGAGUCGCAGUUUUGGGAGAAGGCAGGAUCUGAAUCAAUUUAUUUUAUUUCUUGUAUCACAUUUUAAAAUUAUCCACUAACAAAAAUCCUCUGAGAUGUAUAUGGUCUGUUAAAAAUGCAUUGGUGAUCCGAUAUGACAUCAGCACACCGCAGAGAGUGAAGGGAGCUGCCCUCCGCCCCAUUGUCCGUCCUACAGCUUAAACUGGGAGAAGCGUCGUUGGGACCUUGCACGCAUUGACUGGGAGAACCAACAGCUGCUCAAGCGUCUGGAAGGAAGGAAGUCGGAACUUGCCCAGGAACAUUGGCAGCAAAACUGGCAUAAGGAGCAGCUCCUCCGCCAGAGCAUUGCCCGCUAUCCCCGUGGCAAAGGAAGAUGCCAGGCAAACAAGGAGAGACCAAGGCAGUGGAGUGAAAGCAACAGCAUUCCCACCUCAGCAUCUGUCUCUUCACUCAACAGAACCCACCUGCCUUGUAAGCAUAACAGUAUGAUAGGCAAGAGCUUCUGGGAGACUAAAAGCGAGUCCAUCCCAGAAGGAGAGGCAACAACCUUCGCCUCUUCACCUCCCACUUUAAGGAAAAGAAAGACCCUCAAGCCAUCAAGGGCCGUGGUUCCGCAGUCAAGCAAAGGCCCGUUGGUAUCAGCCAGGAUUGCACCUGGUGUUUCUCCCAAUGCUGCUCAUGGAUCCCUGGUCAGGACAAACUGAUCAGGAGAAGAUGCUCUUAAACAGCUCCAAGAAGAUACAGUGAUGGUUGCCUCCAUCCUUCACGUCUCCUUAUGCUCAAGUGAGAACCUCAGAACCCAUGAGACCAACCCGAUCCUUGCAUCACAGGACUCAUAGAAUAAAACAGAGCUCGCCUCAUCA